ACUGCUCAGUAACACGUGGAUAACCUGCCCUAAGGAAGGGGAUAACCUCGGGAAACUGAGGAUAAUACCCUAUAGGUUACAGACGCUGGAAUGCCCUGUAACCGAAAGUUCCGGCGCCUUAGGAUGGAUCUGCGGCCGAUUAGGUUGUUGUUGGGGUAACGGCCCAACAAGCCGAUAAUCGGUACGGGUUGUGGGAGCAAGAGCCCGGAGUUGGAUUCUGAGACAUGAAUCCAGGCCCUACGGGGCGCAGCAGGCGCGAAAACUUUACAAUGCGGGAAACCGUGAUAAGGGAACCCCGAGUGCCUGUAUAUGCAGGCUGUCCAGGUGUCUAAAAAACACCUGAAGAAAGGGCCGGGCAAGACCGGUGCCAGCCGCCGCGGUAAUACCGGCGGCUCGAGUGGUGGCCACUUUUAUUGGGCUUAAAGCGUUCGUAGCUGGGUUGUUAAGUCUCUUGGGAAAUCUGACGGCUCAACCGUCAGGCGUCCAAGGGAUACUGGCAAUCUUGGAACCGGGAGAGGUGAGGGGUACUUCGGGGGUAGGAGUGAAAUCCUGUAAUCCUCGAGGGACCACCUGUGGCGAAGGCGCCUCACCAGAACGGCUUCGACAGUGAGGGACGAAAGCUGGGGGAGCAAACCGGAUUAGAUACCCGGGUAGUCCCAGCCGUAAACGAUGCGCGUUAGGUGUAUCGGUGACCACGAGUCACCGAGGUGCCGAAGGGAAACCGUGAAACGUGCCGCCUGGGAAGUAUGGCCGCAAGGCUGAAACUUAAAGGAAUUGGCGGGGGAGCAC
rnacentral:rRNA from 1 species